rnacentral:rRNA from 1 species
AUUGAGCGCUGGCGGCAUGCCUUACACAUGCAAGUCGAACGGUAACAGGUCUUCGGAUGCUGACGAGUGGCGAACGGGUGAGUAAUGCAUCGGAACGUGCCCAGUCGUGGGGGAUAACGCAGCGAAAGCUGCGCUAAUACCGCAUACGAUCUAUGGAUGAAAGCGGGGGACCGUAAGGCCUCGCGCGAUUGGAGCGGCCGAUGUCAGAUUAGGUAGUUGGUGGGGUAAAGGCUCACCAAGCCAACGAUCUGUAGCUGGUCUGAGAGGACGACCAGCCACACUGGGACUGAGACACGGCCCAGACUCCUACGGGAGGCAGCAGCGGGGAAUUUUGGACAAUGGGCGCAAGCCUGAUCCAGCAAUGCCGCGUGCAGGAAGAAGGCCUUCGGGUUGUAAACUGCUUUUGUACGGAACGAAACGGUCCUGGUUAAUACCUGGGGCUAAUGACGGUACCGUAAGAAUAAGCACCGGCUAACUACGUGCCAGCCGCCGCCGUAACAC